AGAGUUUUGAUCAUGGCUCAGGAUGAACGCUAGCGGGAGGCUUAACACAUGCAAGUCGAGCGGGAUUAGUAGCAAUACUAUGAGAGCGGCGCACGGGUGCGUAACGCGUAUGCAACCUACCUUAUACAAAGGGAUAGCCCAUGGAAACGUGGAUUAAUAUCUUAUAGGACUUGUUUUUCGCAUGGAAUACAAGUUAAAACUACGGUGGUAUAAGAUGGGCAUGCGUCUGAUUAGCUAGUUGGUGAGGUAACGGCUCACCAAGGCGACGAUCAGUAGGGGUUCUGAGAGGAUUACCCCCCACACUGGUACUGAGACACGGACCAGACUCCUACGGGAGGCAGCAGUGAGGAAUAUUGGUCAAUGGGCGGAAGCCUGAACCAGCCAUCCCGCGUGCAGGAUGACGGCCCUAUGGGUUGUAAACUGCUUUUCUACGCCAAGAAACCCAUUUACGUGUAGAUGGUUGACGGUAGUGCAGGAAUAAGCACCGGCUAACUCCGUGCCAGCAGCCGCGGUAAUACGGAGGGUGCAAGCGUUAUCCGGAUUCAUUGGGUUUAAAGGGUGCGCAGGUGGGAUAGUAAGUCAGUGGUGAAAUACUGCCGCUUAACGGUAGAGCUGCCAUUGAUACUGCUGUUCUUGAGUAUGGUUGAGGUAGGUGGAAUGUGUUGUGUAGCGGUGAAAUGCAUAGAUAUGACACAGAACGCCGAUUGCGAAGGC
rnacentral:rRNA from 1 species